UCGGGAAUUUUGGGCAAUGGGGGAAACCCUGACCCAGCAACGCCGCGUGAAGGAUGAAGUAUUUCGGUAUGUAAACUUCGAAAGAAUAGGAAGAAUAAAUGACGGUACUAUUUAUAAGGUCCGGCUAACUACGUGCCAGCAGCCGCGGUAAUACGUAGGGACCAAGCGUUGUUCGGAUUUACUGGGCGUAAAGGGCGCGUAGGCGGCAUGACAAGUCACUUGUGAAAUCUCUGGGCUUAACCCCAGAACGGCCAAGUGAUACUGUCGCGCUAGAGUGCAGAAGGGGCAAUCGGAAUUCUUGGUGUAGCGGUGAAAUGCGUAGAUAUCAAGAGGAACACCUGAGGUGAAGACGGGUUGCUGGGCUGACACUGACGCUGAGGCGCGAAAGCCAGGGGAGCAAACGGGGAUUAGAUACCCAAGUAGUCCCUGAGCGGGCUGGCAAGGCGCAU
rnacentral:rRNA from 1 species